UGUAAAAGAGGGCCUAUGCCCCAUAAAUGGAAUUACAACCCACCGCCUAUCUUCAGCCACCUUUAC
rnacentral:tRNA from 1 species